CCUACGGGUGGCAGCAGUGAGGAAUAUUGGUCAAUGGACGGAAGUCUGAACCAGCCAUGCCGCGUGCAGGAAGACGGCUCUAUGAGUUGUAAACUGCUUUUGUACAAGGGUAAACCUGAAUACGUGUAUUCAGCUGAAAGUACUGUACGAAUAAGGAUCGGCUAACUCCGUGCCAGCAGCCGCGGUAAUACGGAGGAUCCAAGCGUUAUCCGGAUUUAUUGGGUUUAAAGGGUGCGUAGGCGGAUUGAUAAGUUAGAGGUGAAAUGUCCGAGGUUAACUCGGGAACUGCCUCUAAUACUGUUGGUCUAGAGAGUAGAUGCGGUAGGCGGAAUGUAUGGUGUAGCGGUGAAAUGCUUAGAGAUCAUACAGAACACCGAUUGCGAAGGCAGCUUACCAAUCUAUAUCUGACGUUGAGGCACGAAAGCGUGGGGAGCAAACAGGAUUAGAUACCCCUGUAGUC
rnacentral:rRNA from 1 species